UGUGUGGUGUAUCUGUGAUGACACCGGUUUCUUUUUAAAUAAAUUUAACACUUUAGUUGUUUUGCUAACAGGCUCUGCGUUGCGAAAAGUUUAAAUUAAAUUAAUAUAACUCUCUAGUAGGCACAUUUCGCCCGAACUUUCUCACUGGAGAGACAAAGUCGCUGAAGUUAGUUUUUGUGUGACAAAUAGGCCAACAACUGACAGGCCUUUCCCUCAGCAGUCAACCCUGAGGGAGUGGACAUCUCAAUACAUGCAGAACAUGCAGUUACGGAUAUGUACGUUACCACCUGUUAACCAACCCCAGAACAAGCCUGGCGUGCCCUUUGCUUUAUAUGGCCUGCUGGCCUGCUCCACAGCUACAGCCCCCUCCAUGCCACCACAGCUCUGAAGUACAGUUUCACCACACACCAUCACAUCAUCAGCGUGUGCUCCAGGAGACAGCUGCAUCAAAUUGAGCAUGUUUCUCCAGUUGGCGGCGGAUUACAAUGACUACACCAUAUGAGAUGUCCAGAUGGGACUGCUGCACCUGACUGUGCAGGAGACUCGCUGCAAAAUGAUGCAGUAAAAACUCAAACAUUAGCACUUGCUUUCUCCUUCUUUGCCCUGUCUGUCAAAUCUGACUGAUAAAUUAAUUAUCUUAUUUAUUCUCUAAUAAAUUCAUGUCUACAUACUCUGAUAGCCCCGACAAAUAAUGUUAAAACUGUAAAUCAUUAUCACUGGAGUUCAAACGGGCCUCAUUAAA